UGUGUUAGUGGAAGCGUCUGGAAAGGCGCGCGAUACAGGGUGACAGCCCCGUACACAAAAAUGCACAUAUUGUGAGCUCGAUGAGUAGGGCGGGACACGUGGUAUCCUGUCUGAAUAUGGGGGGACCAUCCUCCAAGGCUAAAUACUCCUGACUGACCGAUAGUGAACCAGUACCGUGAGGGAAAGGCGAAAAGAACCCCGGCGAGGGGAGUGAAAAAGAACCUGAAACCGUGUACGUACAAGCAGUGGGAGCACGCUCAGGCGUGUGACUGCGUACCUUUUGUAUAAUGGGUCAGCGACUUAUAUUCUGUAGCAAGGUUAACCGAAUAGGGGAGCCGAAGGGAAACCGAGUCUUAACUGGGCGUUAAGUUGCAGGGUAUAGACCCGAAACCCGGUGAUCUAGCCAUGGGCAGGUUGAAGGUUGGGUAACACUAACUGGAGGACCGAACCGACUAAUGUUGAAAAAUUAGCGGAUGACUUGUGGCUGGGGGUGAAAGGCCAAUCAAACCGGGAGAUAGCUGGUUCUCCCCGAAAGCUAUUUAGGUAGCGCCUCGUGAAUUCAUCUCCGGGGGUAGAGCACUGUUUCGGCAAGGGGGUCAUCCCGACUUACCAACCCGAUGCAAACUGCGAAUACCGGAGAAUGUUAUCACGGGAGACACACGGCGGGUGCUAACGUCCGUCGUGAAGAGGGAAACAACCCAGACCGCCAGCUAAGGUCCCAAAGUCAUGGUUAAGUGGGAAACGAUGUGGGAAGGCCCAGACAGCCAGGAUGUUGGCUUAGAAGCAGCCAUCAUUUAAAGAAAGCGUAAUAGCUCACUGGUCGAGUCGGCCUGCGCGGAAGAUGUAACGGGGCUAAACCAUGCACCGAAGCUGCGGCAGCGACACUAUGUGUUGUUGGGUAGGGGAGCGUUCUGUAAGCCUGCGAAGGUGUACUGUGAGG
rnacentral:rRNA from 1 species